rnacentral:rRNA from 1 species
UCACUAUCCCAGUUGCUGGGGACAAGAGGCUUUGUGGUUGCGACCAAGGGAAAGAAGGGUGGAAAAGGUGGCGCGUCUGACACUAAACCCGCGCUCAGCAAAGAAAUGAAGAGUACGUGUGUGUUUGGGGCAAAUAUCCUGAAAGAGGGUUCUGACCCGAAGAUCCAACCAGACUCUGAGUACCCUGGCUGGCUGUGGCACCUGAUCGACAAGCGUCCGGUGCUGGGCGAGCCGCGGAGGAAAGAUGCCAAGGUGCUGCCCUAUAAAGACCUGAAGCAUUUCGUCGAGUUGGACAACCGAGCUCGGAUCAUGGACAACGAAUGCUCUCCCCGCUAA